GACGAACGCUGGCGGCGUGCCUAAUACAUGCAAGUAGAACGCACAGUUUAUACCGUAGCUUGCUACACCAUAAACUGUGAGUUGCGAACGGGUGAGUAACGCGUAGGUAACCUGCCUGGUAGCGGGGGAUAACUAUUGGAAACGAUAGCUAAUACCGCAUAAUAUUGAUUAUUGCAUGAUAAUUGAUUGAAAGAUGCUAUUGCAUCACUACCAGCUGGACCUGCGUUGUAUUAGCUAGUAGGUGAGGUAACGGCUCACCUAGGCGACGAUACAUAGCCGACCUGAGAGGGUGAUCGGCCACACUGGGACUGAGACACGGCCCAGACUCCUACGGGAGGCAGCAGUAGGGAAUCUUCGGCAAUGGACGAAAGUCUGACCGAGCAACGCCGCGUGAGUGAAGAAGGUUUUCGGAUCGUAAAGCUCUGUUGUAAGAGAAGAACGGGUGUGAGAGUGGAAAGUUCACACUGUGACGGUAUCUUACCAGAAAGGGACGGCUAACUACGUG
rnacentral:rRNA from 1 species